GAUGAACGCUGGCGGCGUGCCUAACACAUGCAAGUCGAGCGAACAGACCAGGAGUUUGCUCCUCCGACGUUAGCGGCGGACGGGUGAGUAACACGUGGACAACCUACCUAUAAGACAGGGAUAAUAUCGGCAAAUCGGAGCUAAUACCGGAAAAUAUAUCGAACUGCAUGGUUCAAUAGUGAAAGACGGUUUUGCUGUCACUUAUAGACGGAUCCGCGCCGCAUUAGUUAGUUGGUAAGGUAACGGCUUACCAAGGCAACGAUGGGUAGCCGACCUGAGAGGGUGGUCGGCCACACGGGAUGUGGGACAGAGUCCAGACUCCUGCGGGAAGCAACAGUAGAGAAUCCUACGCAAUGGGGGAGAGCCUGACAGAGCAACGUCGCGGGAGUGAUGAAGGUGUUCGGAUCGUAAAGCGCUGUUGUUAGGAGAGAACAAAUGUGUAUUUAACUGUGCAGAUAUUGACGGUACCUGAAGAAAAAGCCACGGCUAACUACGUG
rnacentral:rRNA from 1 species